rnacentral:lncRNA from 1 species
CCAUUUUUUAUUAGAGAAAAAAAGACGCACAUCUCGAGAUUAACGAAGUUACCACAGGUGCCUCGUUGUCAACGAAAACGUCGCCUACCACUAAAAGUACAACACAGUUAAUAAAUUUUGUAAUAAAUUUAGAAAAAAGCGAGUACCUAUGCUAAGUCAAAGACUUGAACCCGGAUGGACAGAAUCCACCACAAGGUAGCGCAGUUUGUGUGAGAAAAUGAAACGUGGCCCAUGGAUUGCACAAAUGAAUAUAAGAAUUGGUUAUUAAUUCCGAUACUAUUAUUCCAUCUGGAUGUUGAGAGUUCAGAACACUAAUGGAGAAUAUCUGAUUAGAUCCAUCAUUCAUACUACAGGAUAGUGGAUUGCUUCUUCUGUGUAAAAUAUAUAAAGACCUGCACACUUACUGAAACGGUGAAGAAAAUAAAGAUCAUCUCCUCACAAGAAGAGAGUUUUUUUCACAGCUUUUCCCCCAUGGCAGCGCUCAUCAUCAAGAGCGCAAUCAUCGCAGUUUUCUUGGUUGUGGGACUCAUAUCUUCCACAUCCACUAGUUGCGUUGGUGCAAUAGGUAGGCACCAACCACUGUUUCUUGCUUUAAAUUGCAUCAUCUUUGCAUGCAUGUUGACAAGAUUUUGCUUAAUACUAUAUCUAACAAUUCUUCUUGUGUGUUGCAGGCACGGAGUCAUAUCAUCCACGUCCAUUCACUAGUACAGGGAAGGGCUUUAGCCCCGGGCCGUAAGCGCCUUUAGUUCCGGCUACGGAACCGGGGCUAAGGUUUCGGGACUAAAUGUCCCACCUUUAGUCUCGGUUCCGUGGACCGGGACUAAAGGUCCACCUUUAGUCCCGGUUGGUAACAGCAACCGGGACUAAAAGGUGUGCCAAGGUGUGCCACCUGGCCUCCACUUUUAGUCCCGGUUGUUGCUACCAACCGGGACUAAAGACUUUUUCUUUUUUUUUCUUUUUCUUUUCAUUUGGUUUUCCAUUUAGGGUUUACAAUUAUGUUAUUGUUAUUUUCGAAUGCGUAUUGUUUGCUGGUAGUUUAUGGAACGCGCAUCUAUAUAAUUUAUAUAAUUUAAAGGAUUACAUAUAAAUAUACUAUAAAGCACUAUAUAUAUAUAAAUAAUUAUAUCUAUAGGUCCAUAAUAAAAUAUUUACACAUAUGCUUCUCGGAUAAAGUAUUUACAACACAAUUUUUCUCCACCACUCAAGCAUCAUACAAAUGAUCAUCGUUAUUUGGUUUCAUCUGCUCCUGAGUGUUGAAGUAGCACUCGCCGCCGGAAUCCAGGACUUGGUCAUUAAGAAAUCCUGCGAUUGUCUCCUGAAUUCCUUUUAGGCGCACCGCAUCCAACACCUGCUCCUUCAGCCACAUCUCCUUUAAUAGACAUUAAAGAAAAAAGUUAGAGGUAUGAAUAGGAUUUAUUAAAUAGCAACAAAUAAAUGAAAUAUACUUAUUAUAUAUACAUGUUACAUACUUUUAGGUGCUCAAGAUUAGUUCUUUUGGCAUACACCGUCAUAAACUCGCACACAUAGUAGCCACACAAAUUGUUGCCCGGUGUCUGCCGUAGAACCCACUGAAGUAAGAUGGGCUUUGAAAGUGCUGCAUUCAACUCUGGACGGUGUUUCUGCACGAACCCAGCCCAAACCCUAGCAAUAAAACGAUCAUUAUUAAUUAUCCAUUACCAAGUUAAAAGAGCAGAAUUUAAUAUAUAGAGAUCGAAGUUACCCUUGGAUAAUAUCUAUCAUUUCUUGGUAAUCAUCCUGUGGUUUUCUCAAUGAGUCAUAGAUUACCAAUUGACAUUGCGAGAGAUCAAUGACAAUUAGUAUCCAAUGAAAGCUGCAUUUGUGUGCAUAUGUAGGCAAAAUUAGUAUAUAUCUUCAUAUUGUUUUGAUUAAUUAGUUAAAUAGAAUGUACACACGAUAAUGACACUUACUUAAAGUUGUAGGGAAAGAGUAUAUAUCUUUUAUCUUUUUGGUUGAUCAAGAACCUCCGUAGAUUUCUCUCUGUUUGAGUUCUCCAUAAAACAUACGGGGUCUUGUGGUCUUUGAAUACAACAUUUGGAUCCACAAAUCCAAUCUCCUUGUCAUUUCUAACUCUGAGGUCCCUCAUCAUGUUUCUGCAUAUG